rnacentral:rRNA from 1 species
AUUGAACGCUGGCGGCAGGCCUAACACAUGCAAGUCGAACGAGUGGCGGACGGGUGAGUAAUGUCUGGGAAACUGCCUGAUGGAGGGGGAUAACUACUGGAAACGGUAGCUAAUACCGCAUACCAUCGGAUGUGCCCAGAUGGGAUUAGCUUGUUGGUGGGGUUACGGCUCACCAAGGCGACGAUCCCUAGCUGGUUUGGGAGGAUGACCCGCCACCCUGGAACUGGGGAACGGGCCAGACCUCUAAGGGAGGCAGCAGGGGGGAAGUUUGCACAAAGGGAGCAAGCUUGAAUCAGCCAUGCCCGGUGGAUGAAGAAGGCCUUUGGGUUUGAAAGGUCUUUCAGGGGGGAGGCGUUACCCGCAGAAGAAGCACCGGCUAACCCCGGUGCAGCAGCCGCGGUAAUUU